rnacentral:rRNA from 1 species
AGUGAACGCUGGCGGUAGGCCUAACACAUGCAAGUCGAACGGCAGCACAGUAAGAGCUUGCUCUUACGGGUGGCGAGUGGCGGACGGGUGAGGAAUACAUCGGAAUCUACUUUUUCGUGGGGGAUAACGUAGGGAAACUUACGCUAAUACCGCAUACGACCUACGGGUGAAAGCAGGGGAUCUUCGGACCUUGCGCGAUUGAAUGAGCCGAUGUCGGAUUAGCUAGUUGGCGGGGUAAAGGCCCACCAAGGCGACGAUCCGUAGCUGGUCUGAGAGGAUGAGCGGCCACACAGGAACUGAGAGACGGUCCAGAAUCCUACGGGAGGCAGCAGUGGGGAAUGUUGGACAAUGGGGGCAAGCCUGAACCAGCCAUGCCGCGUGGGUGAAGAAGGCCUUCGGGUUGGAAAGCCCUUUUGUUGGGAAAGAAAAGCAGCAGGUUAAUACCCCGCUGUUCUGACGGUACCCAAAGAAGAAGCACCGGCUAACUUCGU